rnacentral:miRNA from 1 species
AUAGGACUGUCUUAGAAUGGUGUA